rnacentral:rRNA from 1 species
UGAGGAGUGGCUUCCGGAGCUAACGCGUUAAGUCGACCGCCUGGGGAGUACGGCCGCAAGGUUAAAACUCAAAUGAAUUGACGGGGGCCCGCACAAGCGGUGGAGCAUGUGGUUUAAUUCGAUGCAACGCGAAGAACCUUACCUACUCUUGACAUCCAGCGAACUUUCCAGAGAUGGAUUGGUGCCUUCGGGAACGCUGAGACAGGUGCUGCAUGGCUGUCGUCAGCUCGUGUUGUGAAAUGUUGGGUUAAGUCCCGCAACGAGCGCAACCCUUAUCCUUUGUUGCCAGCGAUUCGGUCGGGAACUCAAAGGAGACUGCCGGUGAUAAACCGGAGGAAGGUGGGGAUGACGUCAAGUCAUCAUGGCCCUUACGAGUAGGGCUACACACGUGCUACAAUGGCGCAUACAAAGAGAAGCGACCUCGCGAGAGCAAGCGGACCUCACAAAGUGCGUCGUAGUCCGGAUCGGAGUCUGCAACUCGACUCCGUGAAGUCGGAAUCGCUAGUAAUC